rnacentral:piRNA from 1 species
UGGGAAUCUGAAAGAGAUGGUGUCAUCGC